AGGACGAACGCUGGCGGCGUGCUUAACACAUGCAAGUCGAGCGGAAAGGCCCUUCGGGGUACUCGAGCGGCGAACGGGUGAGUAACACGUGAGUAAUCUGCCCCUAGCUCUGGGAUAGCUCCGGGAAACCGGGAUUAAUACCAGAUACGACCACUUUAGACAUCUGCUGUGGUGGAAAGAAUUUCGGCUAGGGAUGAGCUCGCGGCCUAUCAGCUUGUUGGUGAGGUAACGGCUCACCAAGGCGACGACGGGUAGCCGGCCUGAGAGGGCGACCGGCCACACUGGGACUGAGACACGGCCCAGACUCCUACGGGAGGCAGCAGUGGGGAAUAUUGCGCAAUGGGCGAAAGCCUGACGCAGCGACGCCGCGUGGGGGAUGAAGGCCUUCGGGUUGUAAACCCCGUUUCAGCAGGGACGAAGCGAAAGUGACGGUACCUGCAGAAGAAGCGCCGGCUAACUACGUGCCAGCAGCCGC
rnacentral:rRNA from 1 species